GCAGGGCGUGGUGGUGCGCGCCUGUAAUCCUAGCUGCUCAGGAGGCUGAGGCAGGAGAAUCGCUUGAACCCAGGAGGCGGAGGUUGCAGUGAGCCGAGACCAUGCCACUGCACUCCAGCCUGGGUGACAGAGCGAGACUCCGUCUCAA
rfam:Gorilla gorilla gorilla genomic chromosome, chr9, whole genome shotgun sequence